rnacentral:lncRNA from 1 species
CUCCAGAAUCUUUGCACCCGACCGGAGAGGAUAAAUGUCGAUCUUGCGUGUCCUCCUCCAGCAGGGCUGCAUGUUGACCAAACUGACGAUUAGGCCAAUAAAAACAGGAUCUGGUUCCGGUACUUGCUGCAGAAGCAUCAUGGCUCGAGACGCCGCGUCCUGUGAAGUCAGAACAAACCAGCAUUUCAGUGAGAUGCGAAGUUCUUCGAGCUCCGGGGUCAUCGGGUUCCUCCCACUCGGGGUGUGCGGGUCCAUGGACAGGUAGACAGCCGCGACAGUCUUACCUCACGAGCGCGGGCAGCGGCAGCAGGGUUCUUGCGAUGCUUUUUUUGGUCUUUACGAUGCAUGUGAUGUAACCUGUGCAGGAGUCGCCUCGUCGUACAACUCUGGGUCAGAACAUUCCCCUGAAUGCGAGGAAAGUCUGAAGCUGCUACGGCGGCAAGCAUCUGUCCAAGUGAUUCGACCGGGGCGGCGGAUUCACCUAAUAAUCAAUGCAUAUAACAGAAAGCGCCCUCGGCGAAAGUGAGGACAAAGGAGGCAUCUAAAGGGACCACCGACCUAGCCGAAAACACGACGUUUUGGAGACCGGGAUGGCGACUGCCUUACGAGCAUCGGUGGAGAGAAAGAAGCCAGGAGGAACGCUUCCUUCAAAUGCCACACAAAAAGACGAGGUGGACACCUGUCAUGGGCAAACUGUUUGGCCCCUUUAAAUCAGACAGUGUCUCACCUCUGGGGAUCACGGGAUGCACCAGAUCCAACCGCAGCCCCCUAAGAACUUCUGCGACAGAAACACGCAGCACACACCUCUCCCCAUUUUUCAAAUUGUCUCCCAAGGACCGGCGCCCUGUUGUUUGCGCGCCAGCGAGAGAACGCAUCGCACAUGGUCCAGGGAAUGGCGUUCGUCAUCCCGUCAGAGAACUGCUACUGGGAUCCAAGCGCUUAGUGCGGCUCGUCGACGGGGCCGGCAAGACGUCGCUGUGAGUGCUUGCGUGCCGGCGCUUGUUCGAGCACGUACACUUCAACUGCGCGAGAACAGAGGGGCAAACGUGUCCGAGGAGACCGGCUUCGAGGGUGUUUGACUAUCAGACCUGUCUAAACGUCGUCGUUCAGUGGAUACGUCUGAGAAGAGCCGACGUACCGGGGACAGGGUUUGGACCCGGCUGAAUGUACAAGUCUUUCAUGGCGUUCUGGAGUUGGACAGCCACUUGUUCACAACUUUCUGCAAGUUGGGGCUGGCCGCGGAGUCGCCGGCAGAACCUUUUUGUCAACCUUGGCCAUUUGUUCCUAGGGUUCCAUUCCGCACACGUGAGCAGCUCUGCACGGCCGGAACACAAAACCGUCGGUUUAGGGGCGGAUGAUGCCAGGAUAGUGCUGCUCGAAAACCGAGAUCUGCUCAUCUUUCCGAAACGUAUCGCCGGCUCCCUUCUCCUAGCCCCCCAUUCGCAGGAUCACCGCGAGUAAAGCAGGAAAGGCGGGAACAGCCGCAGUCAGGUCAUUCCUGAAGUCCCAAUAAAGGAACGGAAUGUUUCCACGGGCGAUCCCCGUAUUGGAGUUGCGACUCUGCCGUCGGUUUGAUUUCGCACCCCGGCAAAGGGGCACUGCAGUCAGCAUUUCAGCACCAGGCCUCACGCUGAACCAAACUUUUGAAAAAGGAAAACAGCUCAAGAAAGAGAGAGACACCACGACCGCCAGGUGAUGUGGCAACAGAGAGUGAAGUGAUGCAAGUUGCUUGCCUGAAACAAAGCUGGAGGUAAGGAACACUGGAUCGCGUAUGUUACGCAAAGGGCUUUCAGCUUUGCUGGAAGAGAGAAAUGCUUACCUUCACCUUUGCCUGCAAUGAAAUACGAGAAGAUCUCUCUGGCGGUGUCUUGAACGUCCUGCUCAGCAGGCGAGCCGGCGUCCGCAUUCUGUGGCUACACGCAAACAUGAAAAAACGCACCGUGUGCGAAGGUGUCCCACUGCACGGCACUGGCUGUUUUUCGUUACUUAGCCCAUUAUUUGGCUGGCCUACUCUAAGGGAGUGGUGCGCCUUUCCUCUAUGCUUUGGACCAAGUUUUGCGGCGUGUCAGACACUGAAAGAUGAAUACGCCUUGCUCCCAGAACAACUUCGUGUAUCCCCGCACACAGAGUCAAAAACUAU